AGUCGAGCGAUGAACACCUUCGGGUGUGAAUUAGCGGCGAACGGGUGAGGAACACGUGAGAAAUCUGCCUUCACACUGGGAUAACUCCGGGAAACCGGGGCUAAUACCGGAUAUGAAAUCUGCGGGCAUCCGCGGAUUUGGAAAGUUUUUCGGUUGAAGAUGAUCUCGCGGCCUAUCAGCUUGUUGGUGAGGUAAUGGCUCACCAAGGCGACGACGGGUAGCCGGCCUGAGAGGGCGACCGGCCACACUGGGACUGAGACACGGCCCAGACUCCUACGGGAGGCAGCAGUGGGGAAUAUUGGGCAAUGGAGGAAACUCUGACCCAGCGACGCCGCGUGCGGGAUGAAGGCCUUCGGGUUGUAAACCGCUUUCAGCAGGGAAGAAGCGAAAGUGACGGUACCUGCAGAAGAAGCACCGGCUAACUAUGUGCCAGCAGCCGCGGUAAUACAUAGGGUGCAAGCGUUGUCCGGAAUUAUUGGGCGUAAAGAGCUCGUAGGUGGUUCGUCACGUCGGAUGUGAAAAUCUGGGGCUUAACCCCAGACCUGCAUUCGAUACGGGCGAGCUUGAGUAUGGUAGGGGAGUCUGGAAUUCCUGGUGUAGCGGUGGAAUGCGCAGAUAUCAGGAGGAACACCAAUGGCGAAGGCAGGACUCUGGGCCAUUACUGACACUGAGGAGCGAAAGCGUGGGGAGCGAACAGGAUUAGAUACCCUGGUAGUCCACGCCGUAAACGGUGGGCACUAGUUGUGGGGACCUUCCACGGUCUCUGCGACGCAGCUAACGCAUUAAGUGCCCCGCCUGGGGAGUACGAUCGCAAGAUUAAAACUCAAAGGAAUUGACGGGGCCCCGCACAAGCAGCGGAGCAUGCGGCUUAA
rnacentral:rRNA from 1 species